AUAAUGUGUUUCUUACGGGGCCACUCGGGCCACGGUUGAUGGAUGGCCUUACAGAAGCCGGGUCAAUUAGCCAGGCUGGAUUUCCCUGCAUGGCGGUUGUAGACAGCACUGGGAGAGCUCCCAGCUCUGUCACGCGGGCCUGGCUGUAAUUAAUCACCAGCGUGGGGCCUUCUCACCUCACACAGGCGCGCGCACAAACAGCCAAUACAUACGUUUGGUCCAAAUUACAUCCCCACUCUUCUAAUCUGGCUAAUUGUCAAUAACGCACCCGGAGGAGACGAGGGAUCGUUACAUAAAACAGAGUCCGACAAUCAAACGCGGACCAUCCCCGACAACACUGAACAAGUAGACAGAGCACAGACUGAGAGGCAGGGACGGAGACGUCACUCUGUGUUCACAGCACAAACUCCUGUGGUCCGGACAAAAGCAGCAGGCUGGCAGAUGAGACUCGCCUGGCUCCAGUCUUCGAGCUCUUCUGCCAUGUUUUGAGUUGUUGUGGACAAACAUGUUGUCAGACACGGCUAGAACGUGACCGUCUACACUCACAGUGCUGGACAGGACCACCUGAA